CUAGAGCAGCGAGGAAGCCUACUACUUCUACUACUAGUGACGGGGGCUGUCAGUGUUCCUGUCCAGCUGAUGAUAAGGUUUGGCUCUUUGCUAGUGGAGAAGGCCCUAACUUUGCUGAAUAUGUUCUGUGCCAUAGCUGGGAAGAAAUGCAAGGUUGUCUUGACGGAGUACUCCGAGUGUGUGUCCAACCAAGAAGUUAUAACUUUUUGGUCAGGCCCAGCAGGACACGACCGAGCAGGA